UACGUAGGGUCCGAGCGUUGUUCGGAGUUACUGGGCGUAAAGCGUGCGUAGGCGGUGUCUUAAGUUUGUUGUGAAAUCUCCCGGCUUAACCGGGAGGGUGCGGCGAAUACUGAGAUGCUGGAGUGCGGGAGAGGUAAGCGGAAUUCCUGGUGUAGCGGUGAAGUGCGUAGAUAUCAGGAGGAACACCUGCGGUGUAGACGGCUUACUGGACCGUAACUGACGCUGAGGCACGAAAGCGUGGGUAGCAAACAGG
rnacentral:rRNA from 1 species